GCAACGUGGUCCGUGUGCAGUGCAGUGCAGAUUGCAUCGUUCUGCCUGGAUUCUUUCUCACUGUCUGAGACUCAAUAGUGAGAAAUAUGAGUGCUCAAGUAAGAUCAAGAUCUAGAGGAAAGAGAGAUGGAAAAAAGCCUAAGCUGGAUGAACCUGGGGUUGCUAAGCAACCAUGUAAAAAAAUGCUGCAAAAAAAGGAACCACCAACUGAGGAUCCAGAUAUUGAGCCUGGACUAGAGAGAGAAGAAGGAGCAUGUGGGAUUCAAGAACCUGAAUUGGAAGGUAAAAGCCAGGAAAAGGGUCUGGAAAAGACUGGGGGUGAGCUUGGAGAUGGCCCUGAUGUGAAAGGGAAGACUCCACCUAACACCUCCUAAAUUCAAGAAGUAGGUGAUGGACAGUCAUAAGUUAAAAAGACAAGAAGCUGAAGCCACACAUACAGUUUGUUAUAUUGAUAAUUUGGCUUAAAUUCU